CGGAGGGGGCUAGCGUUGUUCGGAAUUACUGGGCGUAAAGCGCACGUAGGCGGCUUUGUAAGUUAGAGGUGAAAGCCCGGGGCUCAACUCCGGAAUUGCCUUUAAGACUGCAUCGCUAGAAUUGUGGAGAGGUAAGUGGAAUUCCGAGUGUAGAGGUGAAAUUCGUAGAUAUUGGGAAGAACACCGGUGGCGAAGGCGGCCUGCUGGGCUAUGGCUGACACUGAGGCGCGACAGCGUGGGGAGCAAACAGG
rnacentral:rRNA from 1 species